UUUCUACUAUACUCGUUACUCCUGUUAAUCCUCGUUAUGUUUCCCUUACUCUUUUACUGUAUGUGUUUAUUGUGAGUUAUUUGAUAUUGUUGGCUUUACUGAACUAUGUUUAUGUUCUUACUAAGUAUGAUUCAACUCUUUUUCCUAAGUUUGUAUCACUUUUUCUUCUGAACUUAUUUAAGUUCUGAGUUUUUUUCAAAACGUGUUCUCCAUGCUCUUAAUUGUGUGUCGUGUCUAUUUGUUUCUCAUAAG
rnacentral:lncRNA from 1 species